rnacentral:rRNA from 1 species
AUUGAACGCUGGCGGCAGGCCUAACACAUGCAAGUCGAGCGAGCGGCGGACGGGUGAGUAAUGUCUGGGAAACUGCCUGAUGGAGGGGGAUAACCACUGGAAACGGUAGCUAAUACCGCAUACCAUCAGAUGUGCCCAGAUGGGAUUAGAGAGUAGGUGGGGUAACGGCUCACCUAGGCGACGCUCCCUAGCUGGUCUGAGAGGAUGACCAGCCACACUGGAACGGGGACACAGUCCAGAAUCCUACGGGAGGCAGCAGUGGGGAAUAUUGCACAAUGGGCGCAAGCCUGAUGCAGCCAUGCCGCGUGUGUGAAGAAGGCCUUCGGGUUGUAAAGCACUUUCAGCGGGGAGGCGUUACCCGCAGAAGAAGCACCGGCUCACUCCGUGCCAGCCGCCGCGGUAAUUC